AUUGAACGCUGGCGGCAUGCUUUACACAUGCAAGUCGAACGGUAACAGGCCGCAAGGUGCUGACGAGUGGCGAACGGGUGAGUAAUGCAUCGGAACGUGCCCAGUCGUGGGGGAUAACGCAGCGAAAGCUGUGCUAAUACCGCAUACGAUCUAUGGAUGAAAGCGGGGGACCGUAAGGCCUCGCGCGAUUGGAGCGGCCGAUGUCAGAUAUAGGUAGUUGGUGGGGUAAAGGCUCACCAAGCCAACGAUCUGUAGCUGGCCUGAGAGGACGACCAGCCACACGGGGACUUGGACACGGCCCAGGCUCCUACGGGAGGCAGCAGUGGGGAAUUUUGGACAAUGGGCGCAAGCCUGAUCCAGCAAUGCCGCGUGCAGGAAGAAGGCCUUCGGGUUGUAAACUGCUUUUGUACGGAACGAAAAGGUUUGGGUUAAUACCCUGGGCCGAUGACGGUACCGUAAGAAUAAGCACCGGCUAACUACGUGCCAGCCGCCGCGGUAA
rnacentral:rRNA from 1 species